CCUACGGGCGGCAGCAGUGGGGAAUAUUGCACAAUGGGGGAAACCCUGAUGCAGCGACGCCGCGUGAGUGAAGAAGUAUUUCGGUAUGUAAAGCUCUAUCAGCAGGGAAGAAAAUGACGGUACCUGAUGAAGAAGCACCGGCUAACUACGUGCCAGCAGCCGCGGUAAUACGUAGGGGGCAAGCGUUAUUCGGAUUUACUGGGUGUAAAGGGAGCGUAGACGGAAGCACAAGUCUGGAGUGAAAUGCCUGGGCUUAACCCCGGAACCGCUUUGGGAAUUGUGCAGCUAGAGUGGAGGGGGGGGAAGGUGAAUUCCUAGUGGAACGGUGAAAAGCGUGGAUAAUAGGGGGGAAAACAGUGGGGGAGGCGGCUUUCUGGGCUGUUACUGACGUUGGGGGUGGGAA
rnacentral:rRNA from 1 species